UAGGGAAUCUUCCACAAUGGGCGCAAGCCUGAUGGAGCAACACCGCGUGAGUGAAGAAGGGUUUCAGCUCGUAAAGCUCUGUUGUUAAAGAAGAACACGUAUGAGAGUAACUGUUCAUACGUUGACGGUAUUUAACCAGAAAGUCACGGCUAACUACGUGCCAG
rnacentral:rRNA from 1 species